ensembl:misc_RNA Metazoa_SRP Metazoan signal recognition particle RNA
GCCGUGCACGGUGGCGUGUGCCUGUAGUCCCAGCUACUCGGGAGGCUGAGGCAGGAGGAUGGCUUGAGCCCAGGAGUUCUGGGCUGCAGUGCACUAUGCCGAUCGGGUGUCUGCACUAAGUUCGGCAUCAAUAUGGUGACCUCCUGGGAGCGGGGGACCACCAGGUUGCCUAAGGAGGGGUGAACCGGCCCAGGUUGGAAAAAUGAAGCCUAAUAUAUUGGCAAAUUCAAUUAAUGGGAAAAUGAUAGAACACAUAAUAAUUUAGAAAAACAAAACGAAAGU